UGUACCCUACGGGGGGCAGCAGUGAGGAAUAUUGGUCAAUGGUCGGGAGACUGAACCAGCUAAGUCGCGUGAGGGAAGACGGUCCUAUGGAUUGUAAACCUCUUUUGUCGGGGAGAAAAAGACGCCACGCGUGGCGUUCCGAGAGUACCCGAAGAAAAAGCAUCGGCUAACUCCGUGCCAGCAGCCGCGGUAAUACGGAGGAUGCGAGCGUUAUCCGGAUUUAUUGGGUUUAAAGGGUGCGCAGGCGGAAGAUAAAGUAAG
rnacentral:rRNA from 1 species